UUGUAUAGCAUUAUAUAAUAUCACGUAGCUGUUCACCGGUCGGCGGUAACGACAUAAAUUAUUUGAACUUGUUUGCAAAAUGUAUGCCCGGAAUUUGGUUGAAAAAAUUAUGGAAAAAAAAAUGUAAAGUGGUAUUUAGAAAAACUUCACGUAAAAAUUUAGAUUCUUCAGUGCGGUCAAGAGGAACAUUUAAAAAAACAAUGUGUGCCAACUAAUGUUGUUGAAAUGUUGUCUCGAGUAAAAGGUGUCUGCACCGUGUCCGUCCUCGUACAUACCAGGCCGCCUACUUAAUAGUAUAAUAUAUUCCUGCAGUGUACCCGUAUCCCGAUCUAACGUUCCAACUUAUAUAUGGUGUGAACUGUUGAGUACUUGAAGGUAGGUAACACGCAAUCAGCAACGAAACUCUUUAGUUGAACUGCAAACAAAAAAUUACUGAAGACUUAAAUCAUAUACUAAAAGUUACUAAUUUGUUAAUCGAACAUGGCUGAUAUGGAGAGCAAGCAUGGUCUGGUAGGUAUGCAUUGUAUGCAUUACAUUUGUCUAUUAAAUACAAUUAAAAAAAUACAUCAUAUAUUAACCAUGUCAUAUUAGAAUGAUUAGGUAUAAAGCUGAAGCCGGUGUCUAUGCCGAGAUACCGACAAUCGUCAAAAUACAUGAUAUAGGAAUGCAUAACUAAUUAAAUACAUUUUUAUUUCAGUAGGUAAUUUAAGUUUUAUCUUU